rnacentral:lncRNA from 1 species
UAAUUGCUAAUCCUGGCAUUUUAACCCUGCAAUUGUUAAUCGUUUAAAAUUUCGUCCCUCUCCCCACUUAAUCACUGCCACGCCACAUGAAAUUCCAAAUUUACCCCUGGGUUUCCAAUUCUUUCUUCAAUAUUUUGUCCUCUUCUUAAGGGCAAAAUUGGAAUUUCAUGUGUGACAGUGAUUGCCACGUCAUCAAAUUAGUGAUGUGGAAGUGAUUAAUUUGGUCAAAGGAUCAAAUUUUAAACGAUUAACAAUUGCAGGGUUAAAAUGCCAGGAUUAGCAAUUACAGGGACGAAUUUUUAAAUGCCGCCUAAUUGCAAGGGCUAAACACAUCAAUAAGCCUUUA